rnacentral:sRNA from 1 species
AGCAGCUCAAAUGUGAAAAACAAGACCCAGAGAGGGGAAAUCAUUUGAAUCCUGUACUGGUAUUGCUUUGUGUUCCUGGAUUUGGAGAAUUUCUGGGAACACAGGAAAAGGAAAGUGAAUGCCACCAGGAUCUGAACCCAAGAUUCCAGCCUCGGUCACCACCCUGACCCAGAGAAUGCCACUGGGAUGGGGAGAACUUGUCAGUCUUCAUCCUUCCCCACAAGUAUACUGAGGCCAGGACAGUCUUAGGCCCCCGCUGCCCUCCUGGCUCUCAGUGGAGAGAAAAGAGGAAAUAAAUUUGGACCUAGCCUUGAGAUCCUGGAAGAGCUCCUUUGGAUUUAGCCUUGGGAUCCUAGCAUCUCCUCACAAAAUUAUGAUCUUCCCUGGGCAUCUCUAAGCCACCAAUUGGGUUGCCUGCACCUGAGCAAAUACAGCAAGCACCUGCCUUAGAGAGCUCUUAGAGGGAUUAUCCGCAGCCCGAAGAAAGAAGGUUGCAACUGAGGAAGAAUUUCUGAACAGGGAAGAGUGGAAGAAAAGACUGCAGUAGGUAGAGCAUCAAGGGAAGCUGUGGAAAUAUAUUUUCUUA